GCCCAAUUGGCGCAAUGGUUAGCGCAUUCGACUGUAUGUUUUCUUCGGUUACUUCAGAUAUGCUCACUCAAACUAACAAUUCCCAGUCUAUCUUGACUCCUCCACAAGGAUGGUUGUCUGAGGUGAUCGAAAGGUUGCGAGUUCGAGUCUCGCAUUGGGUU
rnacentral:tRNA from 2 species